rnacentral:rRNA from 1 species
GAUGAACGCUAGCGGCAGGCUUAACACAUGCAAGUCGAGGGGUAUAGUAGCAAUACUAGAGACCGGCGCACGGGUGCGUAACGCGUAUGCAACCUACCUUUUACAGAGGGAUAGCCCAGAGAAAUUUGGAUUAAUACCUCAUAGUGUUAUUAGAUGGCAUCAUUUGAUAACUAAAGUUCCAACGGUAAAGAUGGGCAUGCGUCCUAUUAGCUAGAUGGUAAGGUAACGGCUUACCAUGGCUACGAUAGGUAGGGGUCCUGAGAGGGAGAUCCCCCACACUGGUACUGAGACACGGACCAGACUCCUACGGAGGCAGCAGUGAGGAAUAUUGGACAAUGGGCGCAAGCCUGAUCCAGCCAUGCCGCGUGCAGGAAGAAGCAUCUAUGGUGUGUAAACUGCUUUUGUACGGGAAGAAACACUCCUACGUGUAGGAGCUUGACGGUACCGUAAGAAUAAGGAUCGGCUAACGUCCGUGCCAGCAGCC